AUUGAACGCUGGCGGCAGGCUUAACACAUGCAAGUCGAACGAGUGGCGGACGGGUGAGUAAUGCUUGGGAAUCUAGAUUAUAGAGGGGGAUAACUACGGGAAACUGUAGCUAAUACCGCGUACCAUAGGAUGAGCCCAAGGGGGAGUAGGUAGUUGGUGAGUUAAAGGCUCACCAAGCCGACGAUCUCUAGCUGGUCUGAGAGGAUGACCAUCCACAUGGGGAGUGAGACACGGCCCAGACCCCUGCGGGAGGCAGCAUUGGGGAAUAUUGCGCAAUGGUGGCAGCCUGACUCAGCUAUGCCGCGUGAAUGAAGAAGGCCGUCGGGUUGUAAAGUUCUUGCGGUAGCGAGGCGUUAACUACAGAAGAAGCACCGGCUAACUCCGUGCCAGCAGCCGCGGUAAUAC
rnacentral:rRNA from 1 species